rnacentral:rRNA from 1 species
UCAUAUGCUUGUCCCGAAGCUUAAGCCAUGCAUGUCUCCGAACGAUAGUAGCUUGAUCUAGAAUCUGCGAACGGCUCCGUAUAUCUGUUAUAACUUACCGCCUCCCAAUCCGAGCGGCAUAACCACGGUAAUUCUGUGGCUAAUACGUGUACUACGGCGGCCGCCCUCCCGGAAGGGGGGACGGCCCCGGUCUUGCCGGUCAGCCAACGUCGGGGGUCAAACCCCGGUAGCGCGAGUGCUGGCAAGGGUACCUGACCGUGGCUUUCAGCCAUGGCGCGUGCGAUGAGCACCAGACCUAUCAACUAGAUGGCCGGGUAUUGCCCGGCCAUGGUUAUAACGGGUACAGAGGAUCAGGGUUCGAUCCUGGAGAGGUAGCCUGAGAGAUCGCUACUACUUCUAAGGAAGGCAGCAGGCGCGCAACGUUCCCAAUGGGGAUACCCUGAGGACGUGAAGGGACAUACCAAUGCCCGGCCUUUAAAGCCGAGCAAUUGGAAUGGGGGACCUUUAAACCCCACACCGAGUAACAAUUGGAG